rnacentral:rRNA from 1 species
UACGUAGGGUGCAAGCGUUGUCCGGAAUUACUGGGCGUAAAGGGCGCGUAGGCGGUACUUCAAGUCAGGCGUGAAAGCCCCGGGCUUAACCUUGGAACUGCGUCGGAUACUGGAUGGCUUGAAUUCGGGAGAGGGAUGCAGAAUUCCAGGUGUAGCGGUGAAAUGCGUAGAUAUCUGGAGGAAUACCGGUGGCGAAGGCGGCAUCCUGGACCGACAUUGACGCUGAACGGCGAAAGCUAGGGGAGCAAACGGG